UUGAUGUCGUCUGGAUAAGAAGAUACAUUUCAUUGCAGAUUCUGUUUCAGAGCAAGGGGACAGUCUCCCAGCAAUGGCUUUCGUGUGGGUUCAGAAUCGUGUCACCACAGAGAUGACACAGCAGAGCAGAUGCAUCGGAGCUUGUCGCAGGCACAGAGGGAGACUCAGUCUCUUUCAGGUCCAGGGCACCUCUUGGGAGAGGGUGUUGUUCUCGUCAGGAUGCUGACCCUUGGAAAAGCAUCCUCAGUGGGCUGUGGACGAGGAAACCCACAGCAGGCGCAUGGGCAUUUUAGAGAAACCUACUGCUUCCUCCUGCACGGAAUCGAAGCUGCUCGCAGCUUGCCAGCCGCUGCAGUCAUGCAUGGGGCCUGUUCCCACUUCACUCACUUCCUGACCAACAGCUUGUCACACCAUUGGACGGUGGCACACCGGGUCUACAUCUCUGUUAAAAAAUGGUAAGUGGCUGGGCACUGACUGGUUUAUCUAUAACUGACAUCUUAGAUUCUGGAAAAUCACAGAAUUUUGGCAUUGCCAUUUAGUCAUCUGCCAAACAGGGCAAUGACCUUGCCUCUGAGACCCCUUAUGGAAUGUAUACUAAAUGUAUUUAGUUAUGAUCUUUGCUUAUGCGUAUGCUAGUUGCCAGGCCAUCUGGCUUGGCUGUUCACCCGUCUAAGUCUCAGAAAGUCAAGGUCUGACCACUGCUCCUCUCCCAAGGUCCCUGCCUCCCUUACCUCUGACCUCAUUCCUUCCUAUUCUCCUUUCUCUCCUUCAUGUCCCCACGCUGGCUCCUUGACUGGGGCUGAGUCUGCUGGCAAAGGUAGAGUUGCCUGUGUCCUCUAUGGGUGCCUCUCCUGCUGUGCAUCAGCACUCACUGAAAUUUCCCCUUGACUCCCAAUCUUUGCUCGAAUGCUAGCUUCUUUGUUGGGACACACUUUUCCAAACUGCCACCUGCUUCCCACCCAGAUCCUUAACAUUAGGGAGAACCCUCUUCUGGUUCAACGCUGUCUGUAUUGCAAAGCAGGUUCCUGUUUAUUAAGAUCACCAUUUCCCUUCUCUAACUGAAUGUUCUUUCAAUACAGGAAUUUUUGUCCAAUUCCAGUUUUUUUUUUUUAAAGAGAAAAGAACAAAAACAAAUUAACAAACACAAAGACAUACACAAAACAACACAAAAACAAUAAAAACAAUACAGAAUUUCAAACAAGGUGAUAGGAAAUUAACAGCGGCUGUUGUAUUAUGCAUUGGUAUCUUCAAAUUGGUUACUCAGUUUGUUUUUAACAGUGCAUCGCAAAUAUCUUGGAAUGCCUGAUA
rnacentral:lncRNA from 1 species